rnacentral:tRNA from 1 species
GCCUGGGUGGCUGAGUUGGUUGAGCAUCUGAUUUAGGCUCAGAUCAUGAUCUCAUGGUUUGUGAGUUCAGGCCCCACAUUAGGCU